GGAUGGUGGCACAACUCGCUCCUUUGGUGAACCAGCACUGAGUGUAGAGUCAGACCUAGCGAAUAUGUGCUUAGAUACAGGUUUGAAGGAGUCCCUAGGUGUGCUUGUCGCAGAGAUAUUAGAUGGUGGCAAGUCAGGGACUUUAACAGUCUCUGGAUUCCAUCGCCUUUGCCGCUUAGAAGUGUCAUUUGUCUUGGCAACUUCAUGGUCUUCAAGUUUUCGCUUCUCACUAGGAGUUGUGGGCCUCACUUUGUCCUCGGCAUGUAUAACCUUUUUGUCAUGAGAGAAGCCAUCAGACACAACAUCAACCAAUGAUCCCUGGUCCACUUCUAGUUUUUGCUUCUCAUUAGGAGUCGAGAGUCUCGCC
rnacentral:misc_RNA from 1 species